GUCGAGCGAAUGGAUUGAGAGCUUGCUCUCAAGAAGUUAGCGGCGGACGGGUGAGUAACACGUGGGUAACCUGCCCAUAAGACUGGGAUAACUCCGGGAAACCGGGGCUAAUACCGGAUAACAUUUUGAACUGCAUGGUUCGAAAUUGAAAGGCGGCUUCGGCUGUCACUUAUGGAUGGACCCGCGUCGCAUUAGCUAGUUGGUGAGGUAACGGCUCACCAAGGCAACGAUGCGUAGCCGACCUGAGAGGGUGAUCGGCCACACUGGGACUGAGACACGGCCCAGACUCCUACGGGAGGCAGCAGUAGGGAAUCUUCCGCAAUGGACGAAAGUCUGACGGAGCAACGCCGCGUGAGUGAUGAAGGCUUUCGGGUCGUAAAACUCUGUUGUUAGGGAAGAACAAGUGCUAGUUGAAUAAGCUGGCACCUUGACGGUACCUAACC
rnacentral:rRNA from 1 species